rnacentral:rRNA from 1 species
UGCGCAGGCGAUUUGUUAAGUUAGUGGUUAAAGCCCAGAGCUUAACUCUGGGAAAGCUUCUAAAACUAAUAAACUAGAGAUUGGAAGAGGCAAGCGGAAUUGCCGGUGGAGGGGUAAAAUCCGUUGAUAUCGGCAAGAACACCUAAUGCAAAAGCAGCUUGCUAGAACAAUUCUGACGCUGGAGCACGAAAGCGUGGGGAGCAAAGAGGAUUAGAUACCCUCGUAGUCCACGCUGUAAACAAUGGACACUAGGCAUUGGAAUUUCGACCCUUCCAGUGUCGCUAUAUCUAAGCUAACGCGUUAAGUGUCCCGCCUGGGUAGUACGGCCGCAAGGCUAAA